rnacentral:rRNA from 1 species
UGGGGAAUCUUCCGCAAUGGACGAAAGUCUGACGGAGCAACGCCGCGUGAGUGAAGACGGCCUUCGGGUUGUAAAGCUCUGUGAUCCGGGACGAAAGAGCCUGAGGUAAAUAGCCUAAGGAAGUGACGGUACCGGAAAAGCAAGCCACGGCUAACUACGUGCCAGCAGCCGCGGUAAUACGUAGGUGGCAAGCGUUGUCCGGAAUUAUUGGGCGUAAAGCGCGCGCAGGCGGCUUCCUAAGUCCAUCUUAAAAGUGCGGGGCUUAACCCCGUGAUGGGAUGGAAACUGGGAAGCUGGAGUAUCGGAGAGGAAAGUGGAAUUCCUGUGUAGCGGUGAAAUGCGUAGAGAUUAGGAAGAACACCGGUGGCGAAGGCGACUUUCUGGACGAAAACUGACGCUGAGGCGCGAAAGCGUGGGGAGCAAACAGG